AAGUCGUAACAAGGUUUCCGUAGGUGAACCUGCGGAAGGAUCAUUAACACGUAUCCAACGUUAAACAACCCUGUGAACUUUCAUGACUCUCGUAGCCCCGAGGAACAGCAAUCCCGGUAAAUCAAUUGACAGAAAAGUUUUGAUUCGGGACCUCUGUCCAAAAGGUUACGAUCGAGGGGAGCAGUGGCAUGGUUUCCCUAAGCUGUGUGAGGAUCCACAGAGUAAGGAUGACGCAUCUCGGUUGCCAGUCGAUCACCGGCUGGCAGGCAUGUCACAGGGCUAUACGCCCCUUCGUUCACC
rnacentral:misc_RNA from 1 species